UCAGAAAUGUAGCUUAAUGGUAGAGCACUUGCCUAAUAUGCCUGAGGCCCUGGGUUCCAUCCCAGUACUGAG
rnacentral:tRNA from 1 species